rnacentral:lncRNA from 1 species
AAUUUGUCUUAGAAGCAUUUCAAUCACAAUUGUUUAAGUCAAAGAGGUCGUCUUCUAUGGGCUUUCCCGUGAACCUGCGUGAACCUGCGUGCUAUGGGUGCUGUUCCUGACACCACAGAGCACCAUCAGCCUGGUGCAGUCCUCUCCGGCCUUCUCUGUGCCCUGAAAAUGACUUACAUAGUCAUUUUUAUGGAAUGACUCUAACCACUGAGCCAUCCCUCCAUCCCCAUGUGUCUUUGUCUGUUGAGACAGAGUCUCACUCUGAGUCAUGGGCACACUGUGCUGCUGUGCUUGGCAGUUGGCGUCAGACUACUUGGCACGCUCUGUGGCAGGCAUCCCCGACGAAGCUCUGUAAUGGGACAAGAGAAUUGUAAGCCAUAGCCCCUGUCUUUUGCAUCCUGGGCUCUAGAAAAGAAAGCCCCAGAUUUCUUGUUCCUCUGUCAGUGUUUAUUAAAACCUGUAGUAGCUAUGAGUCUUAAAGAGUGGGAGACUUAGGUACCCGUGAGUGUGCAAAACACUAAUUACACAGGAAUAAGAAGAGCUCAGAGCCACUGGGGCAAUCAAGAAAGGCUUCCUGGUUAAGAGCUGGCCACUGAAGAAAGACAGAAUACACAUAGCUGUUGGGUAGAGAAGACCCAGGGGGACAGGCAUCCAGAACAAGUGUAAGCAGGUCGUGUUUACAGCUCAGCAAUGCCAGCAUUGCCUGGAACAGAAGCUGUGUCCAAGGAUGCUGAGAAAUGGGGUUGGAAUGAGUUACUAAGGAGCGGGAUCAUGAAAGGCCUUGACUUCGACUGGAUCCUGGCAAACAAUGGAGAUGCAGAAGGCUCUAGGGAGAACAACAAUACAGGAUCCUGGAAGGGCUACCAGAAUCUGUCAGGCUCAUCAACAUGCCUGUGGACGCCCACAGUGGAGACAGGAAGAGCCCUGCCUCCUGAGCACCCGUCUCUCCCUGUGCCCACCAUGGGCAGGAGAGACCGGACACCUGACCGUGGUUCCACGGGCCAUGACCUUAGGCCCUUUCUCCCCUUGGGAUGCUCCUAGCCUCCUAGCUCCUUUUCCCCCAACCCUGCCUGACCUCCUAGAAGUUGAGCCAACACCUUCUGUGGGAAGAGGCAGCGAUGAAUCAGCCACCUGGGCGUGGCUUCCUCUCGACACUGUUCCCAGUCUGUGUACCUUGGGAAAGAAGACUCCAUCUUUCCCAAAUAUUUCCCUUUCCUGCUAUCCCUGCGGCUUUGAUAGUCCUACCAUUAGGUACUUCUUCGGCCCCACCCCGCACUGACUGCUCUCAUCCUCUCUCUCCGUGAGGGGCUGAGGUCAGUGGACACUUCCUGAAACCCACAACCCGUUCACUCUCCGCAUCCAGUUCCUUCUCCUGCUCUUGUGAAACUCCUCAGUUCUGUAGGCAGAUGCCCUGGCAGCUUGGGUGCAGAGCAAGUAGAUACAGGCUGAGGGCCCUCGUGCCCACUCCUAACAUCAGGCUCUGCAAGCCCUGGCCAGGCGGUCUGUUUGCCUCACUCCUGUGCCAGGCAUCCUGCUCCCACCUGCCCUUGCAAGCAGCUGCCCAACACUGGGUGUCAGGCACCAGUGCAGAAGCCCCUGUGCCAACCUGCAGGUGACAGAAGAUCUUCCAUGAACAGUUAGCUACCUACUGCCAGGUGGACAGGGUACCCCAGACUAGGGCUAUGGGGCUCCAGACGCCAGGGAUUCCAAGAGGGCUCAGAAUAUUCCUGGUACCAAUACUGGAGGACAGAGACGUUGUUUUGCAGAGAAUCAAAGGAGCGACGUCUUUUCGCGUUGUUUAGAAUAGAGCAGAUGGCUGAGUUCCAAUGAAAAUGGCCACUUCACGGGGGUUUGCUUAGCAUCCCAGCUCCAACACAGGAAGAGCCUAGCUAUGGACCCUGGGGCAAGGGCAAGGACUGGCAUCUAACAGUGUGCCAGGCAUACAUCCAGUUCUCAAGGCAGGUAAUCUUCUGGGAUGGGUUUCUCUGUCUCCAUCUCUUCCUCCUCUCCCUCUCUUCCCAUCCUCUCCAAUAAAGAGACCUUGGGGGCUGGACAGAUGGCUCAGUGGUUAAGAGCACUGACUGCUCUUCCAGAGGUCUUGAGUUAAAAUCCUCAAAGCAACCAUAUGGUGGCUCACAAUCAUCUGUAAUGAGAUCUGAUGCCCUCUUCUGGGUGUCUGAAGACAGCUACUGUGUACUUACAUAUAAUAAUAAAUAAAUCUUAAAAAAAUUUUUUUUUAAAAACGGCACUAACUGCACUUCCAGAGGUCCUGAGUUCAAUUCCCAGCAACCACAUGGGGAUCUGAUGCCCUCUUCUGGUGUGUGUCUGAAGACAGCUACAGUGUACUCAUAUAAAUAAAAAUAAAUGAGUCUUU